rnacentral:sRNA from 1 species
UAACCUCCAAGCACGCGGCGUGCGGCGUC